GACGAACGCUGGCGGCGUGCUUAACACAUGCAAGUCGAACGGAAAGGCCCUGCUUUUGUGGGGUGCUCGAGUGGCGAACGGGUGAGUAACACGUGAGUAACCUGCCCUUGACUUUGGGAUAACUUCAGGAAACUGGGGCUAAUACCGGAUAGGAGCUCCUGCUGCAUGGUGGGGGUUGGAAAGUCUCGGCGGUUGGGGAUGGACUCGCGGCUUAUCAGCUUGUUGGUGGGGUAGUGGCUUACCAAGGCUUUGACGGGUAGCCGGCCUGAGAGGGUGACCGGCCACAUUGGGACUGAGAUACGGCCCAGACUCCUACGGGAGGCAGCGGUGGGGAAUAUUGCACAAUGGGCGGAAGCCUGAUGCAGCAGCGCCGCGGGCGGGAUGACGGCCUUCGGGUUGUAAACCGCUUUCGCCUGUGACGAAGCGUGAGUGACGGUAAUGGGUAAAGAAGCACCGGCUAACUACGUG
rnacentral:rRNA from 1 species